rfam:Operophtera brumata OBRT01_Sc01660, whole genome shotgun sequence.
UCAAAGGUUCUUUUUAGAGCCACUGUAGAGAAACCAAGAAAAACUAG